UGCCUGGGCCUAGAGUUCUGGGAGGCUGCUGGGAGGGCACUGCCAGCCAGUUGGCGCCUGCGGGCUGCUGCAGGCUCUUCCCGGGCGUGUAGUGCAGGUGGCCGCGCGUGGUGGCCCGUGGGGCUUUGAGUGGGCGGGGCCCUACACCAGCGAUAGCUUUAAGGGGAGGAGUACUCGUCAGGGACAACACUGUGCGGGUUAAUUUGGGAAGUGAUGGUUAAAGGUCAUGGCUUGAGACUCACUUGUGUUGUUAAUUUUGAUGGGGGUAGAGAUGGAAGCUGCUCCAGUUAACAGUGAGUUCUCAGGCUGGAGACGUAAAGACACUUGAAUUGUAGGUACUGAUUUUGUUCCGCUAUGGGGGCUUUAUUUUGGUCCCGUGUGCUUCCGUUUGAGCAGUCGGUGGUGGAAUUACUAAUUUUUAAGAGCAUCAGAGUUACUUGAAAACGAUGGUGAAGGGAGCCAAAUGAGAGAAAAAGGGAGGAAUUCCUUUUUUACCUCGAGGAGUUUCGUUUCUAGAUCGUGGCAAAAGAGAAGGAAAACAAAUCAAGGUGAACUGAAGAAAAUGAGCCUUUCCCCAGAGGAGAUAGAAGAUGGGGAAGAUGAGACAUCAGAAGAUAAGGACAAUGGCAGUAGAGAUGAGGUGCCUGUGUGGGGGUCCUCACCUUUGGUGUUUUACUCGAAUGCAGAGAGUUGGGACACUACAGACACACUGAGCCACCUGAACAGUCGUUGACUUGACAAGCGUGCCAGGUAAUUCUGGUGCUGGGAGCUCUUUUACUGCACACUGAGAAAUUCAUCCUGGAGAAAUCAACACAGCCGUUGACACGUGGGCCUGAGCAGAUCUUGCACUUGCUGACUGUGCAAUGUGACUGUCGCCUCCUGGCCACAGAGGAGACAUCUCUUCAUUGUUGUUCUUCCUCCUCUAGGUUGAUGUCCCUCAGAAAAAUGGUAGGAAGAUUACUACUGCUCCAGGAAAUAAAAUCGAGAAAAAAAAGUUUCUGGCUCCCAUGUUUGCUGAGAAAUUAAUAUCACCAUGCAGGAAGGGAGCCACAGGGGCCAAGGUUCCAAAAGACAGGAGGAGUGCCCUGCUCGAGAACCAUGAGAAGGGACUUGAGAACCCUGAGGAGGAUGAAGAGCCUAUGAAGAAAGCACCUGAUAAACCAGAAGGAGGAAAUGACCAAACAGAAUGCUUCCCCUGAAACCAAAAUUCAGAAAUUAGAAGGUAACUUCUUUGCUGCGUUUUAGAGCACAAGAGACACGUGGAGAGUUUCAUAUUGGCAAAAACCAAAACUCUGUUAGCCCAAAUGAUGGACAAAGGGAUUUUAAUUGCAGCCUGGUGUUACAAUAUGCCAGAUUCUUCAAUGGAAAUUUUUUUAGCAUCAUUCUUUCUGAACUGUUUCUUUGAGUUCUUUCUCUCUCUCUCUCUCUCUUUUUCUUUGCCUUUUUGUAUGUCAGCUAAACCACCUGUAAGUUUCAAACUAUUUGUUGGAAACCUGAAUUUCAACAAAACUGUUGCUGAACUAAAAACUGGUCUUAGUGAAUUUUUUGCUAAAAAUGACGUCGCAGUCGUUGGUGUCAGAGUUGGCUUGUCCAGGUAAAUACUGAUAAAUUAAGGGUGUUGUUAAGAGUUUUAUCAGCCCAACAAUUAUUAUUCU